AUUGAACGCUGGCGGCGCGUCUUAAACAUGCAAGUCGGACGGGAACCUCGAUGCUUGCAUUGAGGGGAGAGUGGCGAACGGGUGAGUAACACGUGGAUAAUCUACCUCUGGGAUGGGGAUAACUACCCGAAAGGGUAGCUAAUACCGAAUGAGAUGGUGGUUGCAUAUGCAGCAGCUAUUAAAGGUGGGGACCGCAAGGCCUACCGCCUGGAGAUGAGUCCGCGGCCCAUUAGCUUGUUGGCGGGGUAAUGGCCCACCAAGGCUACGAUGGGUAACCGGCCUGAGAGGGUGAACGGUCACACUGGGACUGAGAUACGGCCCAGACACCUACGGGUGGCAG
rnacentral:rRNA from 1 species